UACGUAGGGGUCCGAGCGUUGUCCGGAAUUACUGGGCGUAAAGAGCUCGUAGGUGGUUUGUCGCGUUGUUCGUGAAAACUCACAGCUCAACUGUGGGCGUGCGGGCGAUACGGGCAGACUGGAGUACUGCAGGGGAGACUGGAAUUCCUGGUGUAGCGGUGGAAUGCGCAGAGUAUCAGGAAGAACACCGGUGGCGAAGGCGGCUCUCGUGGGC
rnacentral:rRNA from 1 species